rnacentral:lncRNA from 1 species
AUGCAUUUAGCAGUUAGGGCCCAGAGUCCAGCUAAAAUAAAGGACAAAAAUCACGUUCUGCCUAAGGCGGUUGGUUCGAAGCCAUCCAGGCUGUGGUCACUAGACCGAGAACACCGUCCCAACUACAGAAAACGAGACUCGAGCUCCCAGCAGUCCCCGCGUGGAGGCGGGGCAGGGGUUUGCCAGGCCCCGGACGCGGAGGCCCGAGCUCGCGGAGGAUGGCGGGAACUGGAAGAGCGACCGUCCGUAGACCUCCCUCAUACCCUUGCUCCCGCGACCCGGCCCCUUCUCAAGCCCUCUGCACGAAAGAAAACUGGCCACACUGGGGAGCCUGCGAUAGCAGCGAGAACAAUCGCUUGUGACUGGAGCAUCCAUCACGGGCCGAGGUCCUACAGCUGGCCGGCCUGGAGGAGCCGCCACCACCACCGCUGCCUUCACCGUGGUCUGCACUUUAUUAGAAUUUAUACGUUGCCCCGAUUGAGGGGGAAAAUAAUUAACACCUCUACAAAUAUAUCGUAAAC